rnacentral:tRNA from 2 species
GGGGACGUAGCUCAAUUGGUUAGAGCGCUUCCCUGUCACGGAAGAGGUCGCGGGUUCGAGUCCCGUCGUCCCCGCCA